CCUACGGGUGGCAGCAGUGGGGAAUAUUGCACAAUGGGGGGAACCCUGAUGCAGCAACGCCGCGUGGGUGAAGAAGUACUCCGGUAUGUAAAGCCCUGUCAGCAGGGAAGAAAAUGACGGUACCUGACCAAGAAGCCCCGGCUAACUACGUGCCAGCAGCCGCGGUAAUGCGUAGGGGGCAAGCGUUAUCCGGAUUUACUGGGUGUAAAGGGAGCGUAGACGGCAAGGCAAGUCUGGAGUGAAAGCCCGUGGCCCAACCACGGGACUGCUUUGGAAACUGUGUUGAUGGAGUGCAGGAGGGGGAAGAGGAAUUCGGAGUGUAGGGGUGAUAUGGGUAGAUAUUAGGAGGAAAACCGGUGGCGAAGGAGGCUUACUGGACUGUAACUGACGUGGAGGCGCGAAGGCGUGGGGAGAAAACAGGAUUAGAUACCGGAGUAGU
rnacentral:rRNA from 1 species